CUUGCAGGAUGUUAGGAAACAGCGGUUCCUUCUGCUUCCCUGCUACUGGGGCCCUUCCCCCCACCGCCAAGGCUCUCAUCCCCUUUAACCGUAUCUCGCGCCACGGCCCCUUUAAGAUCUCCUUGGAGGACCCAAAUUCAAAAUCGAGGGCGACCCUCUAGCUGCUGUCUCGAUGGUAAAUCCUCACUUCCUGCCGGAAGUGCGUCUGCAGAGCUGCUUCCGUCCAGCGGCGUGGGAAGCGAGUAAAGCCACGUGCAGAGGAGACCGGCUGUCGCCUCCUACUGGCCGCGGCACCCUCUGCCACCAGCCCGGGGUCCCUGAGACCCCAGGCCUUCCUCGCGGGGCCCCUGGCACCCACGCCUUCCCGCGGAACGGAACCGAGGAGCCGCGCCCCGCUGAGCCGCUGGGGCCUGGACGAUGCCCCCGGAAGUGGGCCCGGGGCGGCGCAGGCGGCCGCGGUGGGUGAGCCGCGCGCGACUGUCCUCUUAAACCCCGCUGCUUUGCUCUCUUCGCAGGGUUUCCGCGGGAAGGGAGGAACGUCCAGGCCCCGGCGGUGGGGUGAAGGCGUGCAGAGACUCCUCCCUCCAGAAAGUGACCUCCGUGUGGGUGACCAGGUAUGUCCAGCGGGGGUCCAGCGUCCGCAGGGCCGUGGUCCGGGGAACGGCGCCUGUGUUGUCGCACCUGCCCAGUGGCCUGUGCAGCCCGUACCAGGCAGCCCCACCCUGACCUAGAGUAAGUCCCGGGAGCCCUCCCGGGUCGGAAUUUUGCAGUAACAGGUGUGAGCACUCUGGCAGCCGCUUGGUGGUCAUGUAUGAUACUGCAAACAGGCGGAGGAACUUAGUGGUAUUGGACCAGGCGCCAAGGGAAGCGUUGGGGAUACACAGGUGAAACAGCCAAGGCUUUUCCCGGGGAGUUUCCGGACAGCUGGGGAGAUAAAGUUAAAUUACCACACUUAGGAGGGUGUCAUUGCCAGGGCACCGAGGCACACACGCAUAGUCCCAGUUACUGGGAGGUUGAGACAGGAGGAUUGGAAGCUCACGGCCAGCCUCGGCAAUUUGGGAAGAUCCUGCCUCAAAGAACAAAAAAAGACUGCAUGUAGCUCAGUGGUCGGGCAUCCCUGGGUUCGUUCUCCAGUACCAGGGCAGAAAAAAAAGAGGUGGUUAAUUUAAGCAGAGGUGAAUGUUCUGAAGGGAAGCACAGUAUAUCUCAGGGAGAUGGAGGCUGGAAAGCUUUUCCGAGGAUGAGACUUGAGCUGGACUCUGGAUAAGUAGGCGUUUGCUCAGAAAGCCUGGUAAUAGUGUGUGCAAAGGCCCAGUGGCCUAGGGAGGAGGAACUGGAAGAAAACCAUCCUAGAUCAGAAAGCAUGCAAAGCCAAAAAGGUGCAGAAGAACCAGGCCACACAGGGCCUUGUGGCUUGGUGAGGGUCUUGGUCUUUGUCCUAGAAAUACUGGGAUACAGUUAGGUGUUUCGAACAAAAGGAAGGUGUGCAUAGAUCUCUGAUUUCAAAAGAUCACUGGAUCCAGAACAGUGCUGUUAAACAGGACUUGCUACAAUGAUGGACAUUCUCUAGGCUGUCUAGAGUGGCCACUAGCCACAGGACUGAUUAAGCAUUUGCUGUGUGGCUGGUGUAACUGAGGGACUGGUACAGUGUACCUAUCUGAUGGCCGCCAUGUUGGAUAGGGUAGCUCUAGCUCACUUUGGCGGGGAGCAGCGACCCCUUAUUGGGGCUCAGGGCACACAGAUGUUCCUAUGUCUCCUGCACCCUGUUCCCUCCUGGCUAGAGUCAGAGACUGCGUCCAGCUCCAGGCAGUAACUGUUGGUGGGAUUUUUAGUAUUGAAGCAGCCUCUUCCUUCCCCUGGCUGCCUGCUUUGUUGUCAGCACAGAUUGUGAGGUGACAUUUUCGGCAUGGCAUUGUGUCCCAUGCCUUGGACAGGACAUAAAGAAAAGCGUGGUCCUGGCCGGGCACACAGCUCGGUGGAGGAGCACCUGCUCAGUAUGCACGAGCCCUGGGUUGAGGGUAGACAUCAGUAAGUGCAUGGGACAACAGGAGGGGGCGCUUUUAAAGGGACCCAUCGGUGUGAGACCCCGAGGAGGCCAAGGCUGUUUUUAGCUGAGGCAACAUAACAAAGGCAGGAACUGAGAAAGGGCUCGAGGGGACAUGGGGAGCAGCGGUGCUUGGGCUGGGCUUGGGAGAUGCAUGGCCAUGGAGGGGAAGGAAAGUGAAGUGGGAAUGUGUGGUGGGGGACUUUGCCUGGCAGAUUCGGGCUGAUUGUGGCUUAACCAGCAGGUUUCUGAGGAAUGAAAGCAACAGUUAAAGCCUGAUUAAGCAGGAUGGGGCAGGACGUCACUGUGAUCGCUUUGGUGGUAUGUGACCAGUGCUGGGUCGGCCAGCGCCUGAAGCCCUGGGGGGUGGGGGGGUGGAAGCAGGGUCUUCACAGGGCAGAACCCCAAGGCAUCUUCUGCGUGGCAUCCAGGUGGAGGUGGACUGCCAAUGUCGAGGGCACUUCGUGGUGCAACAGUUUUCAGUGCUCACACUUGGUGAAGUAGAACAGGAAUAAUGAGGUGUCCUUCCUUGCAGGUCAGCGUCCCUGGAGCUUGCUGUGUUGGCUGGUGCUCCUGACGGUGGUCCUGCAGGUUCUGUGCUGGCAUGGGCUCUUGUGGGUUAGGGCCUCCAGGUUGGUUUGGUUCCAUUCUGACCCACGUGUGUGGUGAAGACCUGCUGGAGAUGGCUCCACGUGCAUCCAAAUAAACCAAGUGCAACCCUAGGAUGUCUCUUCACCUCUUGUGGUUUCCUUG
rnacentral:lncRNA from 1 species